CCUGCCCCUUGAGGGGGUGCCGGUGUGGGUGCUGUGUCACAUGGGUGCCAGUAGAUGACAGAGAGGGGAGAGGCUAUGUCAAUGCUCAGUGUUCUGACCUUUGAACACCCAGUGAUUAGUAGCCCAACACU
ensembl:snoRNA